rnacentral:rRNA from 1 species
UUCCACCUUUUAUAUGCGAUUAUGUGGAGUGUGAGGCGCUAAUCGCCUUCUAUCUGUAUAUUCGCGUACUUGGGGUGUACAUAUUCGUGGGGUAAGUAAACAUCAAUUUUGGCGUUCAUAAAAUGACUGGAGGAAUGUAGCUUCGAUCUCGUAUUGAAGUGUUAUAGCCUUCGGUAGAUGUGAUGAUCGAGAUUGAGGAUUGCAAUGGAUACCCUUCGGGGCUACCUGUCUGGUCUCUGAUUGUUGCUCUGGUGCCGAAAGCUUGCUUACGGUUAUCAAAGUCGAUGGUCAAUAGGUUAGAACGGGUUAAAUUCGUUAAGGAUGUUGACGUAAUGGCUUU